AUGGUUCUACUUUGGGAUUGUCAAAGCCUGGCUGUUAAUAAGACCUCAGAGCAGAUUGGGACAUCCAUCCAAUGUUUCAGCACAUUCCUGAGUUACCACUGUGAUGGAGUGUUCUUGGAAGACUCUCCAGUUUCUUACUUCUCAGGACAUUGGCUGUUUUCCAAAGAAUGUACCUUUGGAGACAGUCAUUAUCACUCCUGGGGUAGGUCUUUCUUGUCUCUCCCACCUUCCCUGUCUUAUUCCCUCUGACUCUAACCCAGAUGAAGUUUACUGGCCACAUAUGUCUAAAUAAUGCCAAGAUUACUUUUAAAUAGCACUUUACAUGUUUCAGAGCAUUUUCCAUAAGAACUCUGAUACCUAAUAGUUUUACCAGCUUUGCCUUAAUACAGGGAAAGGGCUGGCAACUGAGCAUUUUCUAACUUGAAGUUACGUUCUUGAGGCCAGCUGUGGAGCUAUUUUACUGUGGUUGUCCUCAAUAAUAGCAGAGAUGCUGGGCAGACAUAGUUUUGGAUGCGAUUGUAGCCAAGAGGAUAAAUUAAGUCUUUUCAGAACACAUAUGGUCUGAUUUUUAUGUGUAUCUUGAGAAACCAUUUUUUUUAAUUAAAAAAACCCAACAUGGUAUACUUGUACAUCUGCAUUCUUGAAUGGUAGUGUAAGCAAAUCCUUCUUUUAGUGUAUUGGGAUCCAAAUAACCAUACUCAUCCCAUAUUUUUGAAGACCCUUACAUAUCUCUCCUGUUUGUUCUUAUAUGCUUUAGAGAAUCAGUAUAGUUACUUGCUAAAUCAGCAACAUACCUACUAAAACUCUUCCUUUGCUCUCAAGGCACUGGGGAAAAUGUAUUGUAUUGUAAUUACUCAUAAUUUUCAAUAAAGAGACCAAGAAGACAAAAAUGCUGUGUAUU
rnacentral:lncRNA from 1 species